CAAACUUCUCGGCCUUUUGGCUAAGAUCAAGUGUAGUAUCUGUUCUUAUCGGUUUCAUGCUGGUGGGUAGUGUUGAGCGGCAUAGGCCAUAUUCGAAUUCGCGAUAUUUCGCGAAUAUAUGGACGAAUAUUCGUCAUAUAUUCACUAAAUUCGCAUAUUCGUAAUAUUUGCGUUUUAUUUUCGCAUAU